AGUUGGAAUCGCUAGUAAUCGCGGAUCAGCAUGCCGCGGUGAAUACGUUCCCGGGCCUUGUACACACCGCCCGUCACACCAUGAGAGUCGGAACACCCGAAGUCCGUAGCCUAACCGCAAGGGGGCGCGGCCGAAGGUGGGUUCGAUAAUUGGGGUGAAGUCGUAACAAGGUAAC
rnacentral:rRNA from 1 species